rnacentral:rRNA from 1 species
GAUGAACGCUGGCGGCGUGCUUAACACAUGCAAGUCGAACGAAGCACUUAAUGAGAUUUCUUCGGAUUGAUUAUUUUGUGACUGAGUGGCGGACGGGUGAGUAACGCGUGGGUAACCUGCCCCAGACCGGGGGAUAACAGUCGGAAACGACUGCUAAUACCGCAUAAGCGCACAGUGCCGCAUGGCACGGUGUGAAAAACUCCGGUGGUCUGGGAUGGACCCGCGUCCGAUUAGUUAGUUGGUGGGGUAACGGCCCACCAAGACUGCGAUCGGUAGCCGACCUGAGAGGGUGACCGGCCACAUUGGGGACUGAGACACGGCCCAGACUCCUACGGGAGGCAGCAGUGGGGGAAUAUUGCACAAUGGAGGAAACUCUGAUGCAGCGACGCCGCGUGAGCGAAGAAGUAUUUCGGUAUGUAAAGCUCUGUCAGCAGGGAAGAUAAUGACGGUACCUGACCAAGAA